rnacentral:tRNA from 1 species
GGCCAGGUAGCUCAGUCGGUAGAGCAGGGGACUGAAAAUCCCCGUGUCGGCAGUUCGAUUCUGUCCUUGGCCACCA